rnacentral:lncRNA from 1 species
GAUGGAGGGCCUGGGGUACUGGCACUGGAAAUGGUGUUCCCUGGGCUGCCAGGAAGAUUGCAGCUGUCAGUGGAAAAAGAAAACUGAAUGGUUUGUUCUGGUCCGGAAAGAAGAGGCUUGUUCAGCUUCUGUUCUAUGUGGUAAUGACUAAGGAUUGUGCUCCCUUCUUUGCUAAAGGUAUCCUGAACAUCCCGGGAUUUAUCAAGUAACAGAUGCUACACUAGCUAGGAGAAAAAGAAAAACCAAAUGCACAGUAGAGGAGAAAAGAUAUGAAAGAGGAAAGUGAAUUCUGGCAUCCAAAAGGACUGAUCAUUAAGCAGAAAGAAGAAUUUAAAGGCCAGUCUCUGAAAGGCCUCAAACAAG